UGGGGGAUAUUGCACAAUGGGGGAAACCCUGAUGCAGCGACGCCGCGUGUAGGAAGACGGUCCUCUGGAUUGUAAACUACUGUCCCCAGGGACGAAGAUGACGGUACCUGGGGAGGAAGCUCCGGCUAACUACGUGCCAGCAGCCGCGGUAAUACGUAGGGAGCGAGCGUUGUCCGGAAUUACUGGGUGUAAAGGGGGCGUAGGCGGGGAUGCAAGUUGGGUGUUAAAUCUACCGGCUCAACUGGUAGUCGCACUCAAAACUGCAGCUCUUGAGUGAAGUAGAGGCAGGCGGAAUUCCUAGUGUAGCGGUGAAAUGCGUAGAUAUUAGGAGGAACACCAGUGGCGAAGGCGGCCUGCUGGGCUUUAACUGACGCUGAGGCUCGAAAGCGUGGGGAGCAAACAGG
rnacentral:rRNA from 1 species